CUAGAAUCAGUCUCGUAGGUGACCUGCGGAGGGAUCAUU
rnacentral:rRNA from 1 species